CUGGCGGUUGCCCAGAGGCCGGCAACGUCGCGUGAGGCGAGCCUGGGGCGGCGCCUGAACGACGAAUGUUUCAAAAAUCUAAAGCAGAGAGACUGGGGGAUGAGAGACGUCGAGAUUUAUCUGCGAGAGAGACAGCGCGCGUCAUAAUUGCUCCGUCACAGUUGGGCCGUUUAUUCAAGGUAACCAGACGCACGCAUUACCGAGACGUAAUUUUAAAAAGAGGUCCCCCACAACGCGAGUUUUAUUACAGAUUACACUGGUGUUUUUUUCCAAGCCUGCACUCGAAGAAGCUUGCAUUGUGAAGAAUUUUUACGAUCGUUCCUGAAUGGAGGCAAGUUUUACUGCUGAUUUUACGACAGAUAUUUGAAAGUCUCAUUUUCUCUCACUUACAGCAACUCAAGAGGUUACUUCAGAAAUUUUAACUGUAUUUACAUUAAUUUUCCGUCAGGAAAUUUUACGAUCGGAGAACUUUUGAAUCUGAUAUUCAAUGACGAGCUGGAAAUCACAUGCGAAUUAUAAUGAACCGAUUACAUGAAGUUAGUCUACCGUGUUUUGUACAGUUUUUUGUACAAAACGCGGUUUUUAUACAGCAAAAAAAAACAUA
rnacentral:lncRNA from 1 species